UACGUAGGUGACAAGCGUUAUUCGGAUUCACUGGGCGUAAAGGGUGCGCAGGCGGUUGGGUGUGUCAGAUGUGAAAUCCCGAGGCUUAACCUCGGAACUGCGUCUGAAACUACUCGACUAGAGUACUGGAGAGGGUAACGGAAUUCACGGUGUAGCAGUGAAAUGCGUAGAUAUUCGGAAGAACACCAGUGGCGAAGGCGGCUCACUGGCCCGGUACUGACGCUGAAAUACGAAAGCGUGGGGAGCAAACAGG
rnacentral:rRNA from 1 species